rnacentral:sRNA from 1 species
GGCUAGGUCUUGGAGGCUGGUGUAAGGCGAUGCGGGUGAAGGCAGGAGGCUGAUGGAGAGACUGGGGGGAAGAAAAGCCGAAAUGGAUUCACGGUGCCUUGGAUGAAGGACGAGAGGGGAACUGCAAGCUCCUUCAACUGGUUCUGUCCGGUGAGAAGUGAUCAAGCUUGGGCUGACAAGAGGCUCAGGGAGCCCUCACGUUCUUUCGCUUUUUUACCUGCCAAUCAAACUGCUACAAGACAACACCCUGAUCUGGCAUGGACAUACUAAAGCUCUGUACUCGACCCCGCGAGCGGCUCUCGCCUUCCGGGGCUGGAACCCGACUCAGAUGUGAAGCGGCACUGAGCCGCUGCGCAGGUUCGUGCCCAGCGCCCCCUGUUGGACACAGUAGGAGCUGCGCAGCGCCAGUCCCGGAAAUCGCUGGAAUCCUGCUCUGGGGUUAGAGAAAACUCUUUAUUGCCCUCCAAAAAAGAAACGGGAUGCGAAAACAAAUU